UACGUAGGGUGCGAGCGUUAAUCGGAAUUACUGGGCGUAAAGCGUGCGCAGGCGGUUAUAUAAGACAGUUGUGAAAUCCCCGGGCUCAACCCUGGGAAUUGCAUCUGUGACUGUAUAGCUAGAGUACGGUAGAGGGGGAUGGAAUUCCGCGUGUAGCAGUGAAAUGCGUAGAUAUGCGGAGGAACACCGAUGGCGAAGGCAAUCCCCUGGGCCUGCACUGACGCUCAUGCACGAAAGCGUGGGGAGCAAA
rnacentral:rRNA from 1 species